rnacentral:rRNA from 1 species
AUACGGAGGGUGCAAGCGUUACUCGGAAUCACUGGGCGUAAAGCGCGCGCAGGCGGCUUGAUAAGUUGGAUGUGAAAGCCUACGGCUCAACCGUAGAACUGCAUCCAAAACUGUCAAGCUAGAGUCUGGGAGGGGAAGAUGGAAUUAGUUGUGUAGGGGUAAAAUCCGUAGAGAUAACUAGGAAUACCAAAAGCGAAGGCGAUCUUCUGGAACAGUACUGACGCUGAGGCGCGAAAGCGUGGGGAGCAAACAGGAUUAGAAACCCCAGAAGUCC